rnacentral:rRNA from 1 species
CCUACGGGGGGCAGCAGUGGGGAAUAUUGGACAAUGGGGGGAACCCUGAUCCAGCGACGCCGCGUGAGUGAAGAAGUAUUUAGGUAUGUAAAGCUCUAUCAGCAGGGAAGAAAAUGACGGUACCUGACUAAGAAGCCCCGGCUAACUAAGGGCCAGCAGCCGCGGUAAUACGUAGGGGGCAAGCGUUAUCCGGAUGUACUGGGUGUAAAGGGAGUGUAGACGGUGCAGCAAGUCGGAUGGGAAAGGUCGGGGCCCAACCCCGGGACUGCAGUUGAAACUGUUGAACUGGAGUACAGGAGAGGUAUGCGGAAUUCCUGGUGUAGCGGUGAAAUGCGUAGAUAUUAGGAGGAACACCGGUGGCGAAGGCGGCUUACUGGAGUGUAACUGACGUUGAGGCUCGAAAGCGUGGGGAGCGAACAGGAUUAGAUACCCCUGUAGUC